AUUGAACGCUGGCGGCAGGCCUAACACAUGCAAGUCGAACGAGUGGCGGACGGGUGAGUAAUGUCUGGGAAACUGCCCGUUGGAGGGGGAUAACUACUGGACACGGUAGCUAAUACCGCAUACCAUCGGAUGUGCCCACAUGGGAUUAGCUAGAGGGUGGGGUGACGGCCCACCUAGGCGACGAUCCCUAGCUGGUCUGAGAGGAUGACCAGCCACACUGGAACUGAGGCACGGUCCAGACUCCUACGUGAGGCAGCAGUGGGGAAUAUUGCACAAUGGGCGCAAGCCUGAUGCAGCCAUGCCGCGUGUAUGAAGAAGGCCUUCGGGUUGUAAAGGACUUUCAGCGAGGAGGCGUUACUCGCAGAAGAAGCACCGGCUAACUCCGUGCCAGCAGCCGCGGUAAUAC
rnacentral:rRNA from 1 species